AGUGACUUAGCAGUAGCAGCAUACUAAAACUGCAACAAUCCAGAGAUUAGCAUGGCCCCUGUGCAAGGAUGACAUGCAAAUUUAUUAAGUGUUCCACAUUUUU
ensembl:snRNA U6 U6 spliceosomal RNA